UACGUAGGGUGCAAGCGUUAAUCGGAAUUACUGGGCGUAAAGCGUGCGCAGGCGGUUUUGUAAGUCUGUCGUGAAAGCCCCGGGCUCAACCUGGGAAUUGCGUUGGUGACUGCAAGGCUAGAAUCUGGCAGAGGGGGGUAGAAUUCCACGUGUAGCAGUGAAAUGCGUAGAGAUGUGGAGGAACACCGAUGGCGAAGGCAGCCCCCUGGGUCAAGAUUGACGCUCAUGCACGAAAGCGUGGGGAGCAAACAGG
rnacentral:rRNA from 1 species